AUUGAACGCUGGCGGCAGGCCUAACACAUGCAAGUCGAGCGGAGCGGCGGACGGGUGCGUAAUGCCUAGGAAUCUGACUGGUAGUGGGGGAUAACGUCCGGAAACGGGCGCUAAUACCGCAUACUCUCAGAUGAGCCUAGGGCGGAUUAGCUAGGUGGUGGGGGAAAGGCCUACCAAGGCGACGAUCCGUAGCUGGUCUGAGAGGAUGAUCAGGCACACUGGAACUGAGACACGGUCCAGACUCCUACGGUAGGCAGCAGUGGGGAAUAUUGGACAAUGGGCGAAAGCCUGAUGCAGCCAUGCCGCGUGUGUGAAGAAGGUCUUCGGGUUGUAAAGCACUUUCAGCGGGGAGGCGUUACCCGCAGAAUAAGCACCGGCUAACUUCGUGCCAGCCGCCGCGGUAAUUC
rnacentral:rRNA from 1 species